rnacentral:rRNA from 1 species
GCACUACGGUGCUGAAGUGACAAAUGCCCUGCUUCCAGGAAAAGCCUCUAAGCAUCAGGUAACAUCAAAUCGUACCCCAAACCGACACAGGUGGUCAGGUAGAGAAUACCAAGGCGCUUGAGAGAACUCGGGUGAAGGAACUAGGCAAAAUGGUGCCGUAACUUCGGGAGAAGGCACGCUGAUAUGUAGGUGAAGCGACUUGCUCGUGGAGCUGAAAUCAGUCGAAGAUACCAGCUGGCUGCAACUGUUUAUUAAAAACACAGCACUGUGCAAACACGAAAGUGGACGUAUACGGUGUGACGCCUGCCCGGUGCCGGAAGGUUAAUUGAUGGGGUUAGCGGUAACGCGAAGCUCUUGAUCGAAGCCCCGGUAAACGGCGGCCGUAACUAUAACGGUCCUAAGGUAGCGAAAUUCCUUGUCGGGUAAGUUCCGACCUGCACGAAUGGCGUAAUGAUGGCCAGGCUGUCUCCACCCGAGACUCAGUGAAAUUGAACUCGCUGUGAAGAUGCAGUGUACCCGCGGCAAGACGGAAAGACCCCGUGAACCUUUACUAUAGCUUGACACUGAACAUUGAGCCUUGAUGUGUAGGAUAGGUGGGAGGCUUUGAAGUGUGGACGCCAGUCUGCAUGGAGCCGACCUUGAAAUACCACCCUUUAAUGUUUGAUGUUCUAACGUUGGCCCGUAAUCCGGGUUGCGGACAGUGUCUGGUGGGUAGUUUGACUGGGGCGGUCUCCUCCUAAAGAGUAACGGAGGAGCACGAAGGUUGGCUAAUCCUGGUCGGACAUCAGGAGGUUAGUGCAAUGGCAUAAGCCAGCUUGACUGCGAGCGUGACGGCGCGAGCAGGUGCGAAAGCAGGUCAUAGUGAUCCGGUGGUUCUGAAUGGAAGGGCCAUCGCUCAACGGAUAAAAGGUACUCCGGGGAUAACAGGCUGAUACCGCCCAAGAGUUCAUAUCGACGGCGGUGUUUGGCACCUCGAUGUCGGCUCAUCACAUCCUGGGGCUGAAGUAGGUCCCAAGGGUAUGGCUGUUCGCCAUUUAAAGUGGUACGCGAGCUGGGUUUAGAACGUCGUGAGACAGUUCGGUCCCUAUCUGCCGUGGGCGCUGGAGAACUGAGGGGGGCUGCUCCUAGUACGAGAGGACCGGAGUGGACGCAUCACUGGUGUUCGGGUUGUCAUGCCAAUGGCACUGCCCGGUAGCUAAAUGCGGAAGAGAUAAGUGCUGAAAGCAUCUAAGCACGAAACUUGCCCCGAGAUGAGUUCUCCCUGAGACUUAGAGUCUCCUGAAGGAACGUUGAAGACGACGACGUUGAUAGGCCGGGUGUGUAAGCGCAGCGAUGCGUUGAGCUAACCGGUACUAAUGAACCGUGAGGCUUAACCUUACAACGCCGAAG